rnacentral:rRNA from 1 species
CUAUGACCGGGGGAUAGCAGUUGGAAACGACUGAUAAUACCGCAUAAGCCCACAGGAUGGCAUCAUCGAGUGGGAAAAACUCCGGUGGUCAGAGAUGGCCCCGCGUCUGAUUAGCCAGUUGGUGAGGUAACGGCUCACCAAAGCGACGAUCGGUAGCCGGCCUGAGAGGGCGGACGGCCACAUUGGGACUGAGACACGGCCCAAACUCCUACGGGAGGCAGCAGUGGGGGAUAUUGCACAAUGGAGGGAACUCUGAUGCAGCGACGCCGCGUGAGUGAAGAAGUAUUUCGGUAUGUAAAGCUCUAUCAGCAGGGAAGAAAGGCUCCGGAAGGAGAGAUGACGGUACCUGAGUAAGAAGCCGGGUA